UACGUAGGCAGCGAGCGUUGUUCGGAGUUACUGGGCGUAAAGAGUGCGUAGGCGGUUUUCUAAGUUUGGUGUGAAAUCUCCCGCUUAACUGGGAGGGUGCGCCGAAGACUGGAAGGCUUGAGUAUGGGAGAGGUAAGCUGGAAUUCCUGAUGUGAGACGGCUGGUAAAGUGAAACUGGUCAUGAGUAAGUACUGAGGAUGGGGAAACGAAACCCACCUGGUCGGGGUCGGAAGGCUACGAUC
rnacentral:rRNA from 1 species